UAGCCGUAAACGAUGCUCGCUAGGUGUCGGCCACGGUGCGACCGUUGUCGGUGCCGUAGGAAAGCCGUGAAGCGAGCCACCUGGGAAGUACGGCCGCAAGGCUGAAACUUAAAGGAAUUGGCGGGGGAGCACCACAACGGGCGGAGCUUGCGGUUUAAUUGGAUUCAACGCCGGAAAUCUUACCGGGACCGACAGCAACAUGAAGGCCAGGCUGAAGACUUUGCCGGAUUAGCUGAGAGGUGGUGCAUGGCGUAGUCGUGU
rnacentral:rRNA from 1 species